rnacentral:lncRNA from 1 species
AGACUGCAUGGUGUAUGCACACACAAACACGCAUACACUGUUUUUAAAGCCUCUCCAAGAAAUCAGAGAAAGCAAGCAGAGCUUAUGGAAACGUAACUGCUCACAGCGAGCGCUGUGCGGCCUACCACACAGCCUCGUUAGGAAGAAAUGAAGUAAGAAAAGCUGCACUUUUAACUACAGCUACCUGAGGGGUGGGGCAGCACUGCCCUAGAUAAGCAAUAUUUCUGUCUUUUCAAAUAAAGAAGUCGGGGGCUUGGCUUCUUUUCCGAUUUUCUGGUUUGUGGGGCUUGGUUGGUCGCUUGGUUUCGGCUUGCUCGUUUCUUGCCCGUGAAUCUCUGGAUCGGAUUUCUGCGGCUUUAAAAAGCGCUCUCGGCGCAUCCCGCAGACUGUUUGACGCUCCUUUGCUGCCACCAAGCGGUAAAGAAGCAAAACGUCCGCAAUUUUGGAGCAGACCUUCAGCUGCGUGUCAAAAUUUGCUUUCCCGCUUCCCUCUCCCAGCCUUCACCUCAGCCUCCGGGACUGCGCGGGAGGAGAGGAACGUGCACGUGCCGCCAUCUUGGCCCCUCAGCCGUCCCGCCACAGCGCACCCAGCCAGGGAAUACAAUCAGCUUUGGGUUAAUAUUUAAAGAGGAGUGGGGAAAUAAUACAUAUGCAGCUUCUCCACACAGCACUUAAAAUGAAAAGAGCCUCCGCAAGUAUUCAGUAUUACCUCACUUUGCACCGCUGGGGAACUGCGCCUCCACAGGGUGACACAGGGACACUCUUUCCACAGAUCUUGUUUUUGUUGCAAUUACUGUCAUGGAGGUAAUAUCACACAGAUGUGCCCAAGGAACCCAAAUCUGUGGGACGACUUGAAGAAUUUCUGGCAGUAUUUUCUUCAUUCAGUCUGAGUUCAGAGGCAGAAGAAAAGCGACUCACUUGAAUUGUGUUGAAGGCAGAUGUAGGAAAAGCGGAAGAAAGACUCAGAUGAAAUGGACAGAUGGACUUUAACCACAGAGAUGUCUUCCAGAAUCUAUUAAGAUGCUUUCUUCACUUAUGUCACAAAGAGAUAAUCAUAUACCAUAACAACAUGGUGUCCACAGAUGUGGGAACACACAGUGCCAAAGACACUCCAGUUAACACAAGCUGAGAAUCAGCUUUCGUUCUUUCUCUGAUGUUGGUUGUACUAUAUACUUUAUAUUCUUGAAUGUAAUAAAUCAUUACUAAUCUUUGCCAGCUGAAGCAGUGGCCACUGAGAUUCCUGAGGCCAGCGGUGCAUCCAGUACAGGCUUUGUUUUAAAUGAUUUUUUUUAAUAAGUGAAUAGAAGUUCCAUAGGGUCAGAAUGCUCUUUGCAGUUCAGAAGUCACUGUAGCUAAUGGCAGAUUCUGGCCUCUUUGCCUUUUGAGAAUCUGUGCAAGCAAAGCUGAGGGCAAAAUCUGGCCCUUAAUUUUUCUGAUAAUACAGCCUUAGGUGAAUGGCAUGAGGCAAAAAGAAAAUUCUUCCAAGUUUGUUUUGUUCUUGUUAAACUUAGUACAUCUAGAAACAUUAGAAAUAUUAACCUAUGCCAAGACACGACUUGCUUAUCUACCAAAAUUCUUUCCCCUUCUCCCCCCAAAACAAAACAAGCAAAAUACAGUCUUACAAGAAGUAACCCUUCUUUCCACCACAGUUUGAGUUGUGACAAAAUGUUUAAGUUUCAGAUUUCUAUUACAUUCAGCAUACCUAAACAGUGAAAAGAGAUACACUUCCACUGGUGUUAAGAAGGUGACACAUGAAUUAAUUCUAUUUAAUUAAAUUGAUACAAACUCCAGUAUGACCUUAACAUAAACUGAUCAAAUAUAUAGGAGAGCAUCAUGCAUCUGCUUGAGCAUUUAAAAGGUCCGAAAUCUGAAUAAAGCUAUGUUAAAGCAAGGCUGUUGAAGUUGCAGAGUUGUACUAAAUCUGCAGUUCUGCAAAUACAGUAUGUUACAGUGCCCUGUCAUUAUCUGAGAUAAAUUUGAAUUCAAUUGUACAGUCUUUAUUUCUCUCAAAAUGGUUUGUGGCUUCAAAACUGUGCUGGGGGCUUUGUAAUGCUGAUGACCGUGCAUGGGAAAGCUGGAACAUAAGCAAAUUAGGAGCCAAUUUCUACUACGCUGUUUUCCAAGGUUUCUCUAGAACACUGAUCUGGAUGGAUUUUCACUGAGGUAACUUUUUUAACUUCCUGAUAAUGCAUUUCAUUUUUUAUUUUUUAUUUUUUUACCUCAAUGAUGAAGGAAAGUUACAGCCUUUAGAAAAGUACAGAAGUUUUAGCUAACAUUGGCAAUGCAACCUAUACUUCAAGAAUCAUGUACUUGAGCAUAACUGUAAGAAUACCUGCUCAACCUUUCCAAAAGAAAAAAAGAAAAAUAACAGCCAUGACAGAGAGCAAGCAAGUCCAAUACAAGUAGUUAAAAUCUGGCAAAGCUAUAAAGAUCUGGGAAAAGAACAUUAUAAUAAGUAGCUGAGGUACUUUGUGCAAGUAUCAGUGGUAAAUCCCGUGUAGAUAUGUCUAUGCAUAAAGAAUGCGGCCUUUAACAAACAGACACAUUUCGCUGGAAUUCAGUAACUUAACAUCAGCUCAAUUUUAGUGCUGUUUUGGUCACAUAAUAUGUACAAACUUGCAUAGCUACAUAAAACCAAAUUCUCUUCUUUUGUGUUUGAUUCUUGCUACUGUGACUUUAACUAAAUCAAGACUUAAGCUAACCUAAAGGAAUAAAGAAUUAAGCCUAAGAUGUUACAGUCUCCAACAGUAGCAUUUCAUGAAUACACACUUUUGAUUCCGAUACAUACUCAGAGAAGAACUUAAAACUUACUGCCUGCCAUUCAAGGAGGUACAUAACAUUCUGGUGGAUGUGUACUGUGUACAUACACAGACAGCAUCUCAUGAGAUUAACUGCCUUGAGGAAAUGCUCUCUCCAUGGAAACAUUGCACAAGAAAACAUGUUUUGUCUUGUGUGUGAGCUGGGGAGUAUGUUUGUUAGCCCAGGGCAACAAAUUAAAAAGACUGUUUAUAUUGUCCACCUUGACAAUGAUCGUUACUGGGCAUUUCUCUCUCUCACCUUUUAAUAAUGGCAACAGUAACUUUGUGCAUUUAAGCAAUGACAAAUUUGUUCCCAUGAGGCCGAAAAACACUCAAAUGGCAAAUAACAAACAAACAUUCUAGAAAACAGGAGAAAGUACAAUUUGAAACAUGUUCAUGAAAGUGAACAGUCAUAUCAAAUGAGAGGGUAUCAAAGACUACUGCUUUUUCAGACAGCUUUGCUUGUGUGAUUCAAUAAAUGCUCGUUUACUUUACCUGAGUGUCCUGGUAAAACACAGCUAGGAAUUUGCUCCUAGAACUGCUGCUUUAAAGGAAUUCAUUUGCAAGCACAGCUAGCCUCCAUUUCUUUUUCCACCUGUGCUGAGCUAUUGCUGUGCAAGAUGUAUCACCAUGAAUUUCAGGUGAUCCUUAGCUUGGAAGUGAUUUUGUUGAUGUACUUAAGAUAGCCAGUAAAGGUACCUUUGAAAAUCAAGAUUGUACUGGUGUAAAACUGGAACAGAGUUAGACCCAUUUUCUAUCACUUAAUAUAGACUUUAAGUCCCUCCACGGAACGUGUCCACACUAGACUGCGAAGAAGCCUCUUGGCAAUACUGAAUUAUCAUAUUGAACUGCUUCCAUCCAUUUGCUGGGACUGCCAAAUUGAAACGAUGCAUGUCAAGGCAACCUUACACUGAAAAGUAAAAGAUAGCCUCUUAAAUGUUCCAUUUAUAAAGCUUUUUAUUCACAGUUAAAUUUAGUAUCCCCUCUGAAAUAUAUCACUUUACAAAAUUGAUACUUUGCCAUUACAAGAUUUCCACACCAUAUUCACUCAGCUUAGUAGUAAAAACAAGCUUUUUCUCUUUUCCCUUUGGUGCAGUCGAUGAAAACCAAGUUGUUCAAGGUCUGCUUCUUAGAUCACCACCACUACACGUUCCACAGAUCUGUAAUUCUGCAAGGAAGGAUAAAAGUCAGCAAAAAGGAAAGUUGCUAGGAGUCUCAGUAAAAUAUUACAGGUGCAUCAUAUUGGAAUGCAGGAACUAUUAAAUUUUUAAAAACAAAGACGAAGUUAACAUUAAGGAUGAUAAGAUGAUCUGCAAAACAAAUGCAUUCAUGUAGACUCUGGAGCUCAAUGCAAGGAAUAUCACCCAAGCAAGUAAGCGAAAAUGGCAGUGUCAUGCUGCAGAACAUGAAUACAUUUUUUCCUAGCAUGUUAUAGUUGAUUCGAAAAUGAUAAACUGCUUUAAUGACUCAUUAUUUCUCUUAAAUUAUUGUAGCCUAAUGUGUUGGGGGUUUUGUUGUUGUUGUUUUAAUCCCUGCUGAGCAAAUUUUUAACUAAGAAUCAUAUAAAUAUUUUUAACAAAUGCCCUACUUUGGCAUCUUUACAUCUCAGUUUAGGGAAAAGACAUAAACUGUACCCACUUGAGAUGCAACCAAUUUCAGUUAUUUUGAACUGGAACAUUUCUUUGGUUUGAAGUUUGCCAGACUUUCUUUGUUGGAGAAGCAGAACACCUCUGCAAAGUCUCAUGAUUAUUUCUCCAACUAUAUUCUGAUUUUGCAUAUCACUCAAAUGUUAGCUGGUGUUCAUUUCUUUCAAUAGCCAAUUUGCCUAAAAGAGGCAAAUUGUUGCCUCUGUUGUUCCCUUACACUUUAACUGUCCAAAGCAGCUAUACAUUACUAGCCAGCCUCAUCUGAUGAAAGAAAAAUGACAUUCCAUUCAAAAGCUGUUUCAUUUUUAUAACCAAUUUGGCAUACAUCAGUUUGUAGUGAUGAAGAUCAGAGGAUGUUUUUCCUAGGUAUGACGGAGUUCUGCAGUUGCUUUCAGUAGAAGAGAAUCUGCGUAAAUUGAGUCAAAAGUUCAGGGAGAUCUUGCCAGAAGGAACUCUGCCAUAGAACAUCACCAACAUCAAUGGACCUCCACUUGUGCUUCCAGGUAGUUUGGAGUUUGCUGUUCUCAACUCCUAAAAGCCUUCCAGUUGCUACAUCUGCCUUUAUGAUGAGACUGGGUCUCUUCUUCUGAGAUUGCAGAAGCAGGUCCUCAUCAGCUCCUGGCCAAAGUAUGUCAUGUUACAUAGGUCACUCCAAAAGUAAUGCCUCCUAUUUACAUAUGGAAACCUAGUUUUUUUCUUUACCUUUGUAAUGGUCCAGCCCUACAGAUUAAAAAAAUUGGAUUUUGGUGUCCUUCUGAAUUCCAAGACAAUUCUCUUUUUACAGUAUUCCAUAGUAAAUAAUGUUAUAGUAAAUUUCCAAGGUAACUUGAUCCUUCUUUAGCUUUUAUCAUUCCAGAUAACUAUGUAGUGAGGAGAUUUCCAAUGAAACAGGAACAUUAAUACUUUCUGACAAGACCUUAUGCUAGUAUUGAUUUUCAAGGCCAGGAGAAAUUAGGAUGACAUAAUAAAAUAUCCACUCUUGAGGAUGCAGUUCUCAAAUAAUAAAAACACUGAAGGAAUAGAAAUGAACAUCAGUGAUAUGUUGACUUGCUAACUCAUGACUAGCAUUUAAAAGAGAGCAAAUCAAAGUUGUAGUAGGCAUCCUUAUUUGUCUGCAGUCACAGUACACUCUAUCUUAGAGAAAGACAUGUAUUUUCUAGGAGCAGACCCAAAGCAACGCAGGGUGAUGUCAGGCUGUUAAUAGGGCUGAGUGUCAGUAACAGGUACACAUGGUGAUGCACCUCCAUUUUUGGGUAUCUAUUGGAGUUAUUUUCUUUGCAUUAGAAAAGCCACAAACCCAGGCUUUGUCAUCAGAACCGCCACACGAACCUUAAGCAUUUGCAAAGUUGCAUUUGCUACACGUAUGUAAACUUCCCUAUCACAAAUGUCAACUGCGUGUAUAUAAUUAGUUAUACCACAUGGAUUUCUACUUCAGUAACUCUUCGCUAAUAUCCUUGCAUUAUUCUUGUUUAAACAUUUACCAAUGAAAGCUGUGUACUUUACUGGACACUGAAUUAUGAUCUUUUUCAGAAAUUAACCUUUUAAAACAAAAGCUAUAGUUAAAGCUUAAGAGGAAAAUCGUGUAAUGGAAAUGUCCUUCAAUUCCCUUUUAAUUAACAGUACUGCACAUAAAUAGAAGCUGAUCUACCUGUUUCCUCCAGACAAAGUAUGCCAAAGUAUAAGACAUUAUAUCCUCAAAAGUCUCUGCAUUAAAGCACUUCUAGCUUACUUGUAGCACUGCUACUUCAGACCACUUACAUCCUAUUGUCUUACUAACUAGUUCAUAGCACACCUGUUCUUUACAUUAUAUUGUUUUUGAGAUUAAAGGUUCUCAACCUUUGCAUGUGAAAACAUCUAUGCAGACACAAAGUUCACAGGUCUGGUUAUAAUAUUCAACAGGUACAGAACAACACACUUUGAGUCUUCCACAAUUUUAACCUUACUCUCAAGAAGAAGACCCAUGAGUCUAACUGUUCUUUUGUUUUGCAUAACAUUAGGUUGUAGAAAUAAAGCAUGCUCACCUUACCUUUUAGCUGGUAGAAGUUCUUGCAUUUUUGAUGUAUAUGCUCAUGAGUUGCCCUGUAGAUCUGAAGCAGCAAAGUUAGGUACCAGCAUCAGCAUCUAUACAAACAAGCUCUCCUUAGCUGGACUGCUUUAACUGGAAUGAAGGAAUUCUUGUUUGUUCAGAGUUUAUCACAAACAAAAAUCUGUAAAUUCAUACCAGUCACUGAAAAUGUUUCCAGAGAUACACAACAAUUAUUUGAGUUCUAACUUGACAGUUAUUGUAUCUUCAAAUAUUUACUUUCAGAUAGUCAAUGACAAGAGAAUCUUCAUUUUAGCACAUCACUGAAAUUAAUCCAUACUCUGCAUUGCAUGAUGCAGUACAACACUGAAGACAAUACCCAUCCAUUGUGAAUCAUUCAGCUUGCAGUACUGUAAGAGGGGUACUGGAUUUAUUUGUUUUAAUCAUUCAGUCUUUCACACUAACUAUAUUUCCCAAGACUGCAGACUGCUACCCAAACGGCAUUUUGGUGAAUUAAAUUGUUCAUUUGUCUUUCAUAAUUAGCUUGCCACUACUUUUCAAGCAGUUUCACACCAAUAACUGAGCUUUGCUUUGUAGCAUACUGAAAAAUGAACUUAUUAGAUUCUCCUAAAGGAAUUAAUGUACUCCCUCCCCUAAACGACUAAGCUUCACAUUUGAGGGAAGGAGACUAUUUUGCAAGGCAGAGCAGUAGUUUGAAGCGUACCCAAGAACAAAGAUCUGAAAAACAGCAACCAAUGACCACACUCCUACCACCUCACAGCACGUUUAUCUCAGAGUCAGCAGUAAGAGAUGCACACCACAGCCAAAUUCCAAUCAAGUUCCUGCAUGUGCUGUUUCCUGUUUGCUGUCCCCUGCCUGCUCCUUUGUUCAGGCCCUACAAGCAGUCGUUUGGGCUGUUUUUGUUGUGGCUCCCCCCCCACCACGGAUUAGACACAAGGGCUAAAAGUGGAAUUCAGGCUUUUUGCUUGCAGCCCUUGAACCUCAGUUUCUUCAGAGACCUCAGAAGUAAAGGAAUACGGCAUACAUUCUGUUCCAGAAGCUGAAAACGAAACAGUUCAAUAGAGUGAAUAAACCUUACAAUACUCUGUGAACAACUUACUCAAUGGGGUAAUGGGAAAGUAAACAUGGGUUUUACAUAAACACCACAAACUGGACAGCAUUGUUUGUGACUGCUUUAAUACUCAAGAGACAAAGUACAUACAAAAACAUUCAUAAGUAAAAAAAAUAAUUCUUAGGCAUUAUAAUCAAAACAAUACUGGUAUCUAUUGCCAGCAAGCAUAUGGCAAGGCAUUACCAUUUUAAUAAUGAAACGUUACCUCUGGAGCAUUACAUGGCACUUACAGAUAUACAUACAAUGCUUUUUUUUUUUUUUUUAACCUCAGUGCAUAGGUACCUCAGAAGAGCAUCCUGGACAAAAUACAACCCUGCAAACUUUUUGAAGUAUAAUUUAAUCAAGAUGUUGCUAUACAGCACUUCUGUGAGACUCAUACAGUGCAGAAAACACCUUUUGAUAACUCUAUGUGUCUCUGAUAACAUAAAGGGGAAAAAAAAUUAGUUCAUCUUUCUCUUCUUUGCUUUAGUAGGAGUUUGGUCAUUUUCAGGGUUUGGUUCCCAGAGUGCAUUCCUUACAAAUCUGGAAGCUGCUCCUUUAUCAAGUUUGGAUGCCUUUUUCUUGUCUGCUAUUUCUUUGACCUUGUUCAUGUAUGUUCUUAUUCUCUCCAGUUCCUGUUUCACUGGAUGUUCCUUUGGAUUGAUUCCCUGAGUAGCCAAAUACACCCAGAACAUUGAAUUCAAUGUGUACGCUGAAACCAAAUCCAGUUUUGCUUGCUCAAGAGGCUCCAACUUCUGGAGAAGCUCGCUUCUAGAAACUGACAUCAUUGUCUUCAACAUCUCAUCUACCGAAGUAAGAGAUUUUUCAAAUGUUGUGAGAUAAUCAUGUAUUUCAGUGGGAUAUUCUUCUGCGUUAAUAUCUUCUGCCAUUUCCAUCUUUUUGCUAACGUCACCUCCACAUCUCUGUCACAGACGCACGAGGCCGAGAUAACGCGCUGAACGUUAGAGGCCCUCCUUCCCAAAGUGCUGCUCCCGGUGGCUCCGAAAGUCCUUAAAUCACACGCAGCGACAUGAUGACGCUUAUACCGAAGGGAGGAAGGCCUCGAUUCCCCCCUCCUCAGCCCCGCUACCACAGCGUGGCCCUGCUGACGGGCCCGAGCAGCAGCACUCACCGUACAGCGCCG